rnacentral:rRNA from 1 species
UACGUAGGGUGCAAGCGUUGUCCGGAAUUAUUGGGCGUAAAGAGCUCGUAGGCGGUCUGUCGCGUCUGCUGUGAAAACCUGGGGCUUAACCCCGGGCCUGCAGUGGGUACGGGCUAGCUAGAGUGUGGUAGGGGAGAUCGGAAUUCCUGGUGUAGCGGUGAAAAUGCGCAGAUAUCAGGAGGAACACCGGUGGCGAAGGCGGAUCUCUGGGCCAUUACUGACGCUGAGGAGCGAAAGCGUGAGGAGCGAACAGG